UACGUAGGCAGCGAGCGUUGUUCGGAGUUACUGGGCGUAAAGCGUGCGUAGGCGGUGUCUUAAGUUUGUUGUGAAAUCUCCCGGCUUAACCGGGAGGGUGCGGCGAAUACUGAGAUGCUGGAGUGCCGGAGAGGUAAGCGGAAUUCCUGGUGUAGCGGUGAAAUGCGUAGAUAUCAGGAGGAACACCUGCGGUGUAGACGGCUUACUGGACGGUAACUGACGCUGAGGCACGAAGGCGUGGGUAGCAAACAGG
rnacentral:rRNA from 1 species